CGGAGAAAGGAAUAUAUAUACGACACAUACAUACACUAAAGCAUAUAACAUAUUUAGAAACUUUAAAAACAACAGUCGUCAGUUAACAGUAAGGAUUUUUUUAAAACUAAGAUGAGUUCGUCAAAGUUACAUAAUUAUUUGGACAAGAAAAGUGGUCAAUUUGUGGGCGAAAUGCACGAAAGUAAAAAAUGUGGUUCCGUUUCGAAAACAAGACACACACACUUUGAUGGAAAACAUUAUAAAGUUAAAUGUAUACUACGAAGGUGUCACUGUGGCCAAUACACUGACUGGACUCAUCUCCAUGUUGAAGAUAUGAAAAUGGCUGAAUUUCCAACGAAGGGGGCAAUCCUUACAACAAAUAGGCACGCAAGUGUUAAAGUCACACGGCAAUACGGGAAAAAAGGCCAACGAAAAUAUCAAAUGGAAUUACGAAACUAUUCUCAAAGAAAAUGGACAGUUCGACGUUAGACGUAAAAUCAACAUUUACAAACUAAGGUUGCUGAUGGAUUGUUAUUGAGAUCAUGGAAUUCACAAAAGAUUGUACUGACACUACCUGUACUGACACUACCUGUUUGGACACCAGUUUACAUGUCACCAAUACGCAACUGGUAAUUUGGAAAGAAGUAUCAUCAUUUUGUUUUCAAACUUGUGAAUAAUUUCAAAAGACGUUAUCAGCGAAUUCCGGAUCAAGGGAGCAAAAUGGACAUUAACAUUUAAAAUAUUACGUUAGAAAACCCCCAUGACGAAUCGGCUGUAAUAUAUAACAUAUUUACUUACUUUCCACAUUUAUACACUAAUAUAUGUUUAAUCGCAUACAUAUUAUACUAAUGGUGUGUACCAUCUUUUGAUCUACUUCUGAUUCAACAAUUGUCUUUUCCUUGAAUAUCAUUCAAUUCAAUUAUCAUAAGUAAAAGAUAUGCUCAAGUAUAAAUGUUUGAUAUUUUUCUUGAGGAAAUACAUGUAUGAUUAUAAACGUACAUUAUUACGUUUUUAAGUGUUUAUCAAAGACAGUUCUAACAUUGAAGGCUGCAUUGACAGCAAAUUUCUCUCUUUGAUAGAUCGUUGAUUCUAUAUGGGGAAAAGAGGUACAUAAUUGAUAAAUAAGGCAAUAUGGCAAUCCGUGUGUGGAAUAUCUGUAUUCCCUAUUCAUCUUGAUUGAUGCGCAUACAUCAUUUCUAAAAAUAAUACUUGUUAAACAUAUUCCCCCAAGAGACAGCAGUAUGGUAAUUUAUAAGUUCUUUUUCAAUAAGUAUAAUGAUAAUGAAAUAGAUGUAGUGUGACACAUGAUGGAAGCCCUGCUUGGCCUCAUGUUUUCAUCCUAUCCAUGCAGAAAUGUAUCAGUGAAUGAAUGGUAUGUAUUUCAAUGUUGUGACGGUACAAACAAUAAACGUUUUUAAAAAGAAUAUCAUUAUUGUUGUGCAGAAAUGCAUUCGCAUCUUACUGACUUAUUUCAGUCUGCGGGUUUUCCUUAGCGCGUUAGUUCCUAUAUGCCUAAAAUGUUAAUGUUCGCAGCCCGACACGGUCAGGAUAUUUUUCAUAACUACUUUCUAUUACAAAUUUGAAAAAAAAAAACGAAUUUAGAUUUUUGAAUGUAUACACACUAUGAAUAAUAUCACACAAUUAUGGCAUAGAGGGAGGAAUUACAGUCAAUAAAAUGCUCCUAUAUAAUACAUUUAAGAGAUAUUAUUAUAUAGAGAAGGUCGUUUUUCAGACAAAUUGUUAAACUGAUGACUUAGGUGCCCUUUUAGAAAUAUGUAUCUUUUAACCAAAAGCGGUUGGAAAUUGAUGUUUGAAAUACCUACUUGCCCCAUUUGCAUGUCAAGGUCAAAAUAAAACAAGUAUUUACAUAUAUUCAAAAAACAGUAUGUCUAUUUUGUAAAAAUUAUGUGAAACAAAUGUUUUGUUGCAAUUUUUCUGGAAGGUAAGCCCAUACUUCAGGUAUGGAUGUGUAAUCGAGCCCCUGUGGCCUAGGUGAAAGGCUGUUAUGACUACUGUCAACCACAAAUUAGUAUGAGAAAUAAGGAUAUCAUAGGAAAUGUCUUUUAAUCGAGAGUGCUGCGUAAGUGAUUACUUCAGUUCACAAUUUCUUUACCGUCUGGUGUAACGAAUGAAUCAUUUUCCGAUUUUAUUUCAGGAAUAAAAAAAAUAUAAAAUUCAAGCUUUGAAUGACACUUACGAAAAGUAUUUUUGCUCCAUUAAAUUCCUAACUGAAUAUAUCUAUUAUUUUGCUAUGUAUAUAUAUCAUAUUAUUUUACGCUCCUAAAAUCCCUUUAACAUUAAAUACAAGUAUUAUAAUGCGUUUGAUCCUCAGAUAACUCGGGUAUAUUUCACAGCCUUUUGAUGUACGGGGUGGAAUUACGAUUAUCGUUUAGAGUCAAUAUGUCGUGCUGGAAGUUUCCAGGAAAUGGUUAAAUAUAGAUUGGAAUUCCGGAAAGGUAAAUUGGCUAGUUAAGCAAUCACACAUAAUGCACGAGUUGGUAUCAGCACUGGUGAUUAAAACAAAGAAAAUAUACAGUCCCAAAAUGCUUGUAACGCUUUAAUUCAUUUGAAAAGUGACGCGGUUUAGAAGGAAUCAUAUAUUAAAAAAUUAUGGAAUUCA